rnacentral:rRNA from 1 species
AGAGUUUGAUCCUGGCUCAGGACGAACGCUGGCGGCGUGCCUAAUACAUGCAAGUCGAACGAAGCUUUCUUUCACCGAAUGCUUGCAUUCACCGAAAGAAGCUUAGUGGCGAACGGGUGAGUAACACGUAGGCAACCUGCCCAAAAGAGGGGGAUAACACUUGGAAACAGGUGCUAAUACCGCAUAACCAUGAACACCGCAUGAUGUUCAUGUAAAAGACGGCUUUUGCUGUCACUUUUGGAUGGGCCUGCGGCGUAUUAACUUGUUGGUGGGGUAACGGCCUACCAAGGUGAUGAUACGUAGCCGAACUGAGAGGUUGAUCGGCCACAUUGGGACUGAGACACGGCCCAAACUCCUACGGGAGGCAGCAGUAGGGAAUCUUCCACAAUGGACGAAAGUCUGAUGGAGCAACGCCGCGUGAAUGAAGAAGGCCUUCGGGUCGUAAAAUUCUGUUGUCAGAGAAGAACGUGCGUGAGAGUAACUGUUCACGUAUUGACGGUAUCUGACCAGAAAGCCACGGCUAACUACGUGCCAGCAGCCGCGGUAAUACGUAGGUGGCGAGCGUUGUCCGGAUUUAUUGGGCGUAAAGGGAACGCAGGCGGUCUUUUAAGUCUGAUGUGAAAGCCUUCGGCUUAACCGAAGUAGUGCAUUGGAAACUGGAAGACUUGAGUGCAGAAGAGGAGAGUGGAACUCCAUGUGUAGCGGUGAAAUGCGUAGAUAUAUGGAAGAACACCAGUGGCGAAAGCGGCUCUCUGGUCUGUAACUGACGCUGAGGUUCGAAAGCGUGGGUAGCAAACAGGAUUAGAUACCCUGGUAGUCCACGCCGUAAACGAUGAGUGCUAAGUGUUGGAGGGUUUCCGCCCUUCAGUGCUGCAGCUAACGCAUUAAGCACUCCGCCUGGGGAGUACGGUCGCAAGACUGAAACUCAAAGGAAUUGACGGGGGCCCGCACAAGCGGUGGAGCAUGUGGUUUAAUUCGAAGCAACGCGAAGAACCUUACCAGGGUUUGACAUCCUUCUGACAAUUCCAGAGAUGGAACGUUCCCUUCGGGGACAGAAUGACAGGUGGUGCAUGGUUGUCGUCAGCUCGUGUCGUGAG